AAUGUUACCAUAAUUGAAUAUCGAUGUUAGGUAUUUUAUACACAGUUCAAGCAAUGUCACCGUUGCCUAAUAUAAUUAGCCAUUGUCGACAACACUGACGGUGACAUAUUAUACAUACACAAUAUUUUGCCACCAGUCAUCCAUGACAUACAUUAUUUCCAAUCAAUACAUAACAAACAAUCGUUAAAGCCUUAAAAAUAAGGACUUUUUAGUAGUCGUUUCUCAGGUUU